rnacentral:rRNA from 1 species
CCUACGGGGGGCUGCAGUGGGGAAUAUUGGACAAUGGGGGGAACCCUGAUCCAGCCAUGCCGCGUGUGUGAAGAAGGCCCUCGGGUUGUAAAGCACUUUCAGUGAGGAAGAACGCCUGGUGGUUAAUACCCAUCAGGAAAGACAUCACUCACAGAAGAAGCACCGGCUAACUCCGUGCCAGCAGCCGCGGUAAUACGGAGGGUGCGAGCGUUAAUCGGAAUUACUGGGCGUAAAGCGCGCGUAGGUGGCUUGAUAAGCCGGUUGUGACAGCCCCGGGCUCAACCUGGGAACGGCAUCCGGAACUGUCAAUCUAGAGUGCAGGAGAGGAAGGUAGAAUUCCCGGUGUAGCGGUGAAAUGCGUAGAGAUCGGGAGGAAUACCAGUGGCGAAGGCGGCCUUCUGGACUGACACUGACACUGAGGUGCGAAAGCGUGGGUAGCAAACAGGAUUAGAUACCCGAGUAGUC